UCCCUGGUGGCUCAGGGAGUAAAAGCAGCUGCCUGCAAUGCGGGAGACCCAGGUUCAAUCCCUGGGUGGGGAA
rnacentral:tRNA from 1 species